UCGUGCUCUGUGGUUUCGACACCUGUCCAGGCCAAUGAUAUUCUGCGUUCUAUUUAAAAAUUGUUUGGCUGUCGGAUUUUUAAUGAGCUUAGACAAAACUGUAUAAUUUGUAUGUAAUAGAUAAUUUUCUUUGGGCCGAUCUCUAUAGAAAUGAUGGUCCCGUCUCCACAACAUCUUCACAUUGUUAGGGUUCGUCAUUGAAGGUAUGGUUCCGUAUACCAUCAAUGGCGAUUCUGAAAUUGCGUGUGCGUUGACUUUUUCUCAGUAAUCUCAAAGUCAGUGGUAUCUCUUCAUGUCGUUUUGGUCUCUAUUCUUAACCUCGGAACUGUUACCAAUCGAAUUGAUUGAACGCCAUUAACAAAAGCGUAACUCUUCAUGCCCACUACAACCACGAUCUUGCAUUCAAUGAUUCUUAUCCUUCAUCCAGGCGGUGAUUAUCUCCUAUAAAAGGUUUGUGAGGCAGUAAUCAGAAGAGAGAUCAUGAACAAGGUGUUGAAAACGAGUGUGACUGCUUUGGUGGAGCUCAAUAUGCUCAAGAAUUUCACUGGCACUCUGCUGUUGCAGGCUCUUUAGGUGGAUUCAGUGCUCACACCAGAAACAUAGUUCUUGAUGUAUUCAUAGCUAUUUGCCAAUAUCCAGCUCAAAACAUGGAGAGCUAUCAAUGCAUCAAUGAUGGAAACCAUUAACGGAAAAUAUAUCUGUGUCUCUAUCACUACGCCAACUACUCAGGUAACUGAUCAAAUCUCUCUACUAAGUUCUUCAAUUUGAUUUGACAUAUUUAUUUAUCAUGGUUUACAUUUUCAGGCUGGGACAGUGGGAGGAGGAAUGCAGCUUCCGUCUCAGUCGGUGUAGUCAAACCUGCUAAGCGUUAAAGGAGCUACAACAAUUUGAUCUUAAUCUUGCCUUUUCAAAAAGAUUGAGCGUUUCAACAAUGUGGGAAACACAGAGCGUCAAAGUAUGUACCAUUGCCUUUUCAAGUUGGAGAAAGCAAGAGCAUGUAAAUUUUAUACAUUCCAAAACCAAAAAAGCAGCUUAAUUUGGAUUAUACAUGUAUAUCCUAUGAAAAUAUAUUUAUCGUAACACACAUAUAUUUAUUCUUGACUUUAGAUU